CGGGACGGACGGACACCGCAGCCUCACCGAUGGAAAACCAGAAAAUAACAUGGGUCGUUCAACAUCUCUAGUUUACGCGCGAUCUUAUAAACGCUACCAUGUGUGGCGAUGUUGACCCCGAAUAGCGCAUAAUAUGGUUUCACCUUUAUAGCGCUAUGCACCGACGAGCGCAAGGAACACUCCACUUCCGAAAGGUGCCUAUCCCAUUCGCGAUGGUCCUCCUGAAGGUAUGCCCUUAUCACGGCCAGUACCAACAGGUUCACCCGGUUAAACAUUAUGGCUUACCCAAAAUGUUUAACCAACUCCUGGAAUUCCCUAUUUACAAACUGUUUGCCAUUGUCAGAGACCUCUGUCCAAUGACCUCUGGAGUGCCAAACUUAUGGAAAACUUCUGAAAUCAGAAACUUUACCACAUUUUUGGCACUCGCCUUGGCCAUUGCUUUUAACAGCAAGUAUUUAGACAUAUGGUCUAAAACAAUAAAAAUAUAGGAGCGCGGAUAAGGGCCUAAGAAGUCAACGUAUAUGCGUUGGAAUGGUCGCUCCACUUUAAAUUCCUUCCCCAUGGGCGGACGUAAAGUUGUGGUUGCCGGCUUUGUUUCCUUGCACACCUGGCAUUGAUUUACAAAACUUCGCACCUGCAAAUUCAUAUUUGGCCAGUAAAAGUACUCCUUAACUCGGUGCAAAGUCUUGUGCAACCCGCCAUGAGCCGACGUAGGCGGACAAUGAGCCCUUUCAAUGACUUCCUCAGUCAGCUCGGCGGGUAUCCACCACUUCCACGCGAAAUCUUCACGCAAUGGAUCGCCAUCGUAGUGUCGCGUUCUCUUAUAGGCAAUGCCAUCGAUGACUCGAAAAUCGGGUAAACUAGGUAAACUUGUUUCAGCUGAUCAAAAGCAGUCUUCGCCUGGUCGGUAAAGAUAAAGGUCUUGCUUUUUUUAAGGGUAUCGAUGAUCGGGGUCGCUAUCGUCGCGUAUCCGGGUUUGAAACGCCUAUACCAACCGGUAGCGCAAAUGAAGCUUCUCACCUGCAUUGCUGUCUUCGGGUAGUCAAAUCGUGUUAUGGUUUCAACUUUCGCUGGAUCCGCCUUGAGAGUACCUCCACCAAUAAUAUAGCCUAAGUAUCGGAGCUCUUUGAAACAAAAUUUAGAUUUUGCUACAUUGAUUGUGAGCCCCGCAUUAGCUAACAAAUCGGCAACACGAUUCAGCAACUCCAGGUGAGUGUCAAAAUCUGGCGAUACCACCAAGAGAUCGUCCAAGUAAACAAUAACACGGUCUCUUAGUGCUGCGGGAACCACUUUGUCCAUUAACCGGCAUAACCUCUGUGCUGCAUUACACAAUCCAAAAGGCAUGACGGUGAAAUGGUAAAGAGGCCUCCCAGGCACCGUAAAGGCUGGGUUUCUCUUUACUGGAUUCGUCAAGGGGUAUCUGCCAGAAAGCAUCCUUUAGGUCGACAAUGGAUAUAUAAUAGGUAUCACCAAGCCGGCUGAGUAGACCUUCAAUAUGCGGAAGAGGAUAGGCGUCCUUGUCGGUGAGGGCAUUCAGCUUGCGAGCAUCAAUGCAUAGUCUAUUUUUCUCGCCCUUGCGGACUAAUGUCACUGGAUGACUUCAGGGACUAUCGCUCGGCUCUAUCACCCCCAAGGCUAACAUCCUAUCCAACUCCGCAUACAUUAAUUUCUGCACAGCUGGCGACACCGGAUAGUGCUUACUUUUCACUGGAGUUGCAUCACGUGUGUCGAUUGUGUGUACCUCAGACUGUGUCUGGCCCAAGCCUUUCUCAGUAAAGCAAGGGAAUUUUUCUAUCACAUCUUCCAAGCGUUUUCGCUGAAAGUCUGACAACACAUGGACUUUCUUGUCAUCAUUGACACAGCCGUCAGCUUCUUCACAAAGGCUCACAUUGUUGGUGGUCAAACUCUCAAUUUGAGCAAAAAGUUGAAAUUUGCGCAUAAAAUCUAUGCCGAGGAAAAGAGACUUUCCCAAAGAUGGUACCAAAAAGAAAGUUAUUUCAUGAGACAUUUUAUUAAAGAAGACGGUGGCUGUGGCCCUGCCUAUUCUUUUAUGUGGACUUUCAUCUGCCGUGUGUAUAUACGAGUGGAAUGGAUGUACUGCUGACGGUGGCUUGCGAGAAGGCUUUCCGCUCUUUUAACUUCUCAGUAAAAGCUUCCCAAGUCGUUAACUCUCACUGAGAAUAUCAUCUGCGGCAAUGCUGUUUUCAGGUUGCCCCUCAUAAUCUCUACCAUUUCCGCUUCUCGAUAGGGUUGCUUCUGCUGGUUUCGCAACUGAAUCACCGCAUUAUAAAAAUCCUCGAAGGAUUCUUGGGGCUGCUGACGACGAUUCAGAAUUUGCGUUUGAAUCUGGAAUUCGUUUUCAAACCGCUGGUAUUGCGUCAGCAGAGCCCUCUCAAUUUCUUCCCAAGAUGGAAAUUGCACACAUUUGCGGUGGUUCCAGUACCAGUCAAGAGCUGGUUUCUCCAGGAGUUGGUGGAAUUUGGUUAGAAACUCGCCUUCAGGGCAAUCAUAAUCUCGUUUUAACUCGCCUACGCGAAAUAUAAAUUCUUGGACGUUCAUGGUUUUGGAGGUUCCAUCAAAUUUAAUGCCUCAUUUAGCCAGAUUUAGCUUGCCGGCCGAAUCCGUGUGUGUGCUGCUUCCAAGCCUUCCAAAAUGUGAAGAAGGACCUGGGAAAUGCGCUUGGUGCAACGGCGGCGGCAAAUAUGGUGGUGGUUCACUAGUAUUAGGCUGUUGUGGCGUCUCAUUAAAGGGCGUAUAAUAGUUUGGCUGUGGCCAGGAAUUACGGUACACCGAUGGCAUGCUAAGACCGCCGGCCUCUGAAACUGGUGGUGCUGGUAUAGAUGAUGGUGGGACAGCGCUGCUGCUUGGUACAAAAGGCGGUGUCUGUGAGUAUAAUGCCCCGGCCCGUUGAUAUCACGAGACUGGUGGAACUACUGGUGCCUGCAUAUGUGGCAAACCCCUAGACGGAUGCGUUUGCGUUGGCCCCAAGGACAUAUGGUGUCUCUGGCCUAGUAGUGGACGCCCGGGCUGUCCUGUUGCCAGCUGAGCCAUGGGUACAUUGUUAGGAGGCACGGAAUUACUCACUCCUAACAAUCUUUUAGUAGCUUCAACAAUGGUAGGUAUCAAGCUGUUGAUUCUUUCUGUCUGUUCCCUCUCGAACUCUAUUCGGGCUAGACCAACGGCUGAAGAGAUAAUUUCGCGCAUGCCAAUACUUAUAGCCGGAUUUGCUGGAGGCACUGGGACAUUGAGACCAGUGAGUGGGCUAUAAGUUGGAGAGGAUAUAUGGCCUUGCGAGCCGAAUGUGCUGCUGAAUAGCCGAGACAAAUCGUCCAUGCCUGGAGGUAGUGGUGGAGCAACGGACGAAAGCGCUGAUGAGAUGGGAGCAUUGCUGGCUGCCGUUGUGGUUGUUGUUGCUAUCGUGGAAGUCCGAGCUGGUUGGGUUGUAUUCGCCUGAAAAUUCGAGAAGUUCCUGGCUGCAUCCUGGGACGCCCAGAAUCUUCUCUGCUUCCCGAACGAGUAUUCAGUAAAAACGCCGAAGGGAAAAAGGAACUACAAAUUCAUGUAACGGAUCGGUGGUAGGUAACAACUAAACAAAAAGGUAAGUAAAUGUAAAAUGAUGUACGUAUCGUAUAGUGCCAGUGUAUGCAUGUUCUAAUAAAUUAAUGUAUUUUAUUUCCAAGGUUUCGUGAGUGUAAACGCAGAAGACAAAAAACAUGAAAGAUAGAAAGUUAGCUACGAUGGACAACACGUAGAAACAUAAAUCUUUGCCUGACUCUACAGCCCAUGGACUAAGCCACGAAUGCGUAUGAGGACGAAGAAUAGUGUGUAUCCCGUGAUAAAAAAAGUGUAGGAACAGGACCAGGAAUAAUGCGAGAUGGACUCCCAGAUCGGUAGAUGAUGAUGGCACCAGCUUGGUACCGGUAGAUGGACCCUCAGUUGAUCUGUCCGUCCGUAUGUGUCUGUCUGUUUAUUGUCUUUUUCUCUCAGUGGCGUUAUAUGUAAAAAUAUACAUAUGCAUGUAUUUUUCUUAGAUUCUCUUGCAUUAGAGACAGCACAAUCGGCCUCACUUAUGGGACACUACCCCCACUUUAAACCUACGCCAAAGCUACCUAAGCUGGGCUCAACCUGAGACGCCUUGGGCACCUUGUAUACAAAAGUUAAAAAAGGCUGAAACAAAA
rnacentral:sRNA from 14 species